AACGAACGCUGGCGGCAGGCUUAACACAUGCAAGUCGAGCGCCCCGCAAGGGGAGCGGCAGACGGGUGAGUAACGCGUGGGAAUCUACCCAUCUCUACGGAAUAACGCAUGGAAACGUGUGCUAAUACCGUAUACGUCCUUCGAGAGAAAGAUUUAUCGGAGAUGGAUGAGCCCGCGUUGGAUUAGCUAGUUGGUGGGGUAAAGGCCUACCAAGGCGACGAUCCAUAGCUGGUCUGAGAGGAUGAUCAGCCACACUGGGACUGAGACACGGCCCAGACUCCUACGGGAGGCAGCAGUGGGGAAUAUUGGACGAUGGGCGCAAGUCUGAUCCAGCCAUGCCGCGUGAGUGAUGAAGGCCCUAGGGUUGUAAAGCUCUUUCACCGGUGAAGAUAAUGACGGUAACCGGAGAAGAAGCCCCGGCUAACUUCGUGCCAGCAGCCGCGGUAACAC
rnacentral:rRNA from 1 species